AGAAAUGUGAGCAAAACAAGAAAAGAAAAUCAAAGAAGCAAAGGUGAGGUGGAAACCAGUCUAUUCUGACUGGUACUUUUAACAUUUCCCAAGCCUAACCGGGUUACCCCUUCAGCAAUUUGUAUAAAGAGAAAGAAGCUGUCUCCAAAGGGCAGGAAGAGAUUCUGGAAUCUGGAUCAGAGAGACUGGAGUGCUCACCCCACUUCCAGCACCCCUUCAAGGAGCUAAGGAGGACAGCCCAGAAAGCAGAUGUCAAGAAGGCUCACUGGUUCUAUCGCAUCUCAGAGCACAGGACUCAAGCUGAAGGAAAUGGCAAGGAAAGGAAAUCAUCACUGUGGGACCUGUUUGGGGACAUUGAGAUGCUAAGUGAUUUAUUCAAUCAGAAUGUGUUAGAGAGUUCCACCAAACUGACCUCUUUGCUCCUCACCUGGAGGACUCCCCCCCAGCAUCUCUGUGCUCUUGCCUCACUUGCUGCUAUACCUGGAUGCCCUUCCUCCUCCGUGCUGCUUCCCAGAGUCUGCCUCUUCCUUCAGGAUUCAGCUCAAGCCUCACCUUCACUAUGAAGCCUUUCCUGAUUUCCCCCCCUAUGCUG